rnacentral:rRNA from 1 species
ACAUGCAAGUCGAGGGGAAACGACAUCGAAAGCUUGCUUUUGAUGGGCGUCGACCGGCGCACGGGUGAGUAACGCGUAUCCAACCUGCCCAUCACUUGGGAAUAACCUUGCGAAAGUAAGACUAAUACCCAAUGACAUCCCACGAAGGCAUCCGAAUGGGAUUAAAGAUUUAUCGGUGAUGGAUGGGGAUGCGUCUGAUUAGCUUGUUGGCGGGGUAACGGCCCACCAAGGCAACGAUCAGUAGGGGUUCUGAGAGGAAGGUCCCCCACAUUGGAACUGAGACACGGUCCAAACUCCUACGGGAGGCAGCAGUGAGGAAUAUUGGUCAAUGGGCGAGAGCCUGAACCAGCCAAGUAGCGUGCAGGAAGACGGCCCUAUGGGUUGUAAACUGCUUUUAUAAGGGAAUAAAGUGAGUCUCGUGAGACUUUUUGCAUGUACCUUAUGAAUAAGGACCGGCUAAUUCCGUGCCAGCAGCCGCGGUAAUACGGAAGGUCCGGGCGUUAUCCGGAUUUAUUGGGUUUAAAGGGAGCGUAGGCCGGAGAUUAAGCGUGUUGUGAAAUGUAGAGGCUCAACCUCUGCACUGCAGCGCGAACUGGUCUUCUUGAGUACGCACAACGUGGGCGGAAUUCGUGGUGUAGCGGUGAAAUGCUUAGAUAUCACGAAGAACUCCGAUUGCGAAGGCAGCUCACGGGAGCGCAACUGACGCUGAAGCUCGAAAGUGCGGGUAUCGAACAGGAUUAGAUACCCUGGUAGUCCGCACGGUAAACGAUGGAUGCCCGCUGUUGGCCUGAAUAGGUCAGCGGCCAAGCGAAAGCAUUAAGCAUCCCACCUGGGGAGUACGCCGGCAACGGUGAAACUCAAAGGAAUUGACGG